AUUGCGGAGCCGGAAGAGAAAGAGUCGUCAGGAACACGUUGGAACCAGAUUCAGGGCAUGAUAUGUACCCAGGGGGUCAUAAUGAAGCCUGGGCUGGAAAAAGAGUUUGAUAGUUCAACUUUCAUGAAAAAUGUGCAGUGGAAAGGAGUGAAAAAUCUGGUUUCCUUCUCCACUGUUUUCCAUUUCAGGAGGCCAUUACAUUAAUGCCUUCAGCUUUUUGCACAGCACAUAUUGCUUUGAUGGACGCUUUGAAAUAUCUGGUCGUUAUAACUCAGUCACUCAAGACACCUCACUUAAAAAUUCUAGUUAUGGAAUAAUUGUGAUGCCAUAGGAAGAAAAUUAAGCACGCUGUCUACUCUUGGGAAAUGUUAACAAAUGCCUGUGCAUACUGUGAAGAGUCCACGGGGAAGAAAAUGAGCCACACAAGAUGUUCCCACCUAUAUUUAUUAUACACUGAUCACUAUGAAGACAUAAAGAUUGGUUAAAAGUGGCCUUUGAAGAGCAUGUAAUUGUGUCCAGAACUGGCGGGUUCUUGGUCUCACUGACUUCAAGAAUGAAGCCGCAGACCCUCACGGUAAGUGUUACAGUUCUUAAAGGCAGCGUGUCCGGAGUUUGUUCCUUCUGAUGUUCAGAUGUGUUUGGAGUUUCUUCCUUCUGGUGGGUUCGUGGUCUCGCUGGCUCAGGAGUGAAGCUGCAUUCCUUUGCGGUCAGUGUUACAGCUUUUAAGGUGGCGCAUCUGGAGUUGUUCGUUCCUCCCAGUGGGUUCGUGGUUUCGCUGGCUUCAGGAGUGAAGCUGUAGACCUUCUCGGUGAGUGUUACAGCUCAUAAAGGUGGUGUGGACCCAGAGAUUGAGCAGUAGCAAGAUUUAUUGCAAACAGCGAAAGCAUAAAGCUUCCAUGGUGUGGAAGGGGACCCAAGUGGGUUGCCCCUGCUGGCUGGGGCAGCCUGCUUUUAUUCUCUUAUCUGGCCCCACCCACAUCCUGCUGAUUGGUCCAUUUUACAGAGAGCCGAUUGGUCUGUUUUACAGAGAGCUGAUUGGUCCGUUUUGACAGGGUGCUGAUUGGUGCAUUUACAAUCCCUGAGCUAGACACAAAAGUUCUCCACGUGCCCACUAGAUUAGCUAGAUACAGAGUAUCGAUUGGUGUAUUUACAAACCCUGAGCUAGACACAGAGUGCUGAUUGGUGCAUUUACAAACCUUGAGCUAGAUACAGAGUGACGAUUGGUGCAUUCACAAUCCCUUAGCUAGACAUAAAGAUUGUCCAAGUCCCCACCAGAUUAGCUAGAUACAGAGUGCCGAUUGGUGCAUCCACAAACCCUGAGCUAGACACAGGGUGCUGAUUGGUGUGUUUACAAACCUUGAGCUAGAUACAGAGUGCCGAUUGGUGUAUUCACAAUCCCUUAGCUAGACAUAAAGAUUGUCCAAGUCCCCACCAGAUUAGCUAGAUACAGAGUACCGAUUGGUGCAUCCGCAAACUCUGAGCUAGACACAGGGUGCUGAUUGGUGUGUUUACAAACCUUGAGCUAGAUACAGGGUGCCAAUUGGUGUAUUUACAAUCCCCUAGCUAGACAUAAAGGUUCUCCAAGUCCCUACCAGACUCAGGAUCCCAGCUGGCUUCACCCAGUGGAUCCUGCACUGGGGCCACAGGUGGAGCUGCCUUCCAGUCCCGCGCCGUGCGCCUGCACUCCUCAGCCCUUGGGUGGUCGAUGGGACCGGGCACUGUGGAGCAGGCGGCAGCGCUCGUCAGGGAGGCUCAGGCCGUGCAGGAGCCCAUGGCAGGGGGAGGGGAGGCUCAGACAUGGCGGGCUGCAGGUGCCAAGCCCUGCCCCACGGGGAGGCAGCUAAGGCCUGGCAAGAAAUCGAGUGCAGCGCCAGUGGGCUGGCACUGCUGGGGGACCUGGCGCACCCUCCGCAGCUGCUGGCCCAGGUGCUAAGCCCCUCACUACCCGGAGCUGGUGGGGCCAGCUGGCUGCUCUAAGUGUGGGGCCCGCCAAGCCCACGCCCACCCAGAAGUCUAGUUGGCCCGCAAGCACCGCAUGCAGCCCCGGUUCCCCCCCGUGCCUCUCCCUCCACACCUCCCCGCAGGCUGGGGGAGCUGGCUCUGGCCUCAGCCAUCCGAGGAAGGGGCUCCCACAGUGAAGUGGUGGGCUGAAGGGCUACUCAAGCGCGGCCAGAAUGGGCGCCGAGGCCGAGGAGGCACCGAGAGCGAGUGAGGGCUGCGAGGGCUGCCAGCAUGCUGUCACCUCUCAUAAUGAAAUCGGAAAAUCAUUCUAAGCUUGCAGAAAACUUAUGGAAUAAUAGAUAUUGGUAUACAGUCAAAUGCUAAAUGGUAAGAUGUAGGCGAUUGACUAAAAAUAGAGUUUGGAGAAUUUUCCUGGAGGAAAUAAAGCUGCUGAAGUCUUCAAAUUUGAAAAUUUAGGUGAUUUUAUUUU